GUUAUUCUAAGCUCGAAUUCUGGUCUGGGAAACCAGAGAUUCUGGGUUCGAUCCCCAGC
rfam:Nicotiana attenuata strain TT chromosome 3, whole genome shotgun sequence.